UACAGGGGGGGCAAGCGUUGUUCGGAAUUACUGGGCGUAAAGGGUCUGUAGGUGGCCAACUAAGUCAGACGUGAAAUCCCUCAGCUUAACUGGGGGACUGCGUCUGAUACUGGAUGGCUCGAGUGGGGGAGAGGAAUGCGGAAUUCCAGGUGUAGCGGUGAAAUGCGUAGAUAUCUGGAGGAACACCGGUGGCGAAGGCGGCAUUCUGGACCAUAACUGACACUGAGAGACGAAAGCCAGGGGAGCAAACGGG
rnacentral:rRNA from 1 species